UACGAGUGCCUCAAGCGUUAUCCGGAAUCAUUGGGCGUAAAGGGUGUGUAGGUGGCCGCAUUAGUCUUUUGUUAAAUUUCCAGGCACAACCUGGAACAUGCGAAGGAAACGGUGCGACUAGAGGAUGCAAGGGGUCUGCGGAACUCAUAGUGUAGCGGUGAAAUGCGUUGAUAUUAUGGGGAACACCAAAAGCGAAGGCAGCAGACUAGGGCACUCCUGACACUGAGACACGAAAGCGUGGGGAUCAAACAGG
rnacentral:rRNA from 1 species